rnacentral:rRNA from 1 species
UACGGAGGGUGCGAGCGUUGUCCGGAAUCACUGGGCGUAAAGGGCGCGUAGGCGGCCUGAUAAGUGGGGGGUGAAAUCCUGCGGCUUAACCGCAGGGCUGCCUUCUAAACUGUCGGGCUAGAGCACGGUAGAGGCAGAUGGAAUUCCCGGUGUAGCGGUGGAAUGCGUAGAGAUCGGGAAGAACAUCAGUGGCGAAGGCGGUCUGCUGGGCCGUUGCUGACGCUGAGGCGCGACAGCGUGGGGAGCAAACAGG